CUCACGGCUGCCAGCGUCAUUUUUGUGAUCUGCAGCUAGUAUUCUCACUCCAGUUGCAUAGUCACAAAAGUGAUCACUGGCAGGUGUGGC
ensembl:miRNA MIR153-1 microRNA 153-1